UGUGCAGGAUACAAACUGGGGAAAUGAAAGCCUCUUUUGUCUUUGCAAGAUAUUGGCUCUUAAUUUUAGCUGAUAAGCACCAUUCCUGAAGGCAGGUAAUUGCUUUGAAUGACUCUUGUGAUGUUUCUUUGGACAUUGAAAAGUUAUGGGGUUUUUUUGUUUUGUUUUGUUUUUUAAUUUGGGGCAUUUUACCACCUUCUUGCCCAGCAGCUUGGCUGUUGCUUGUUAUGACUCCUACACUGGAAACAUUUGCUUCCCUCAUUAUUUGCGAAGUAUAAGUUACCAAAGCAAUAUAAAUAAUUCAUGAGCGUGCCUGCCAUGUGUGGGAAUAAAUUGUAUUUGUGUGAGAGGAAGAGUUCAGGGGGGUACAACAUUUGGAACAAAUGAGUGCAAAAGACACUAGAACUAGGCUGGAUUUGUGGCUAAUUUCUAACAAACCAAUAAAAUGCAAAGCAGAGAAAGCAGAGGAAAUGAGCAGGCAGUGAUGACCUAACCUGGAAGUAAUUUGAGACCAGGUAAGCAUGUGUGUCCACAGCCUGAGUGCAUACUCUGAUUAGCAGGAGUGUGCAAGCUGUUGUGUGGGUGCAAAGAUAGCAGACCUAACCAUUCAGAUCUUCAUUACUAAAGAAAAACAUGAGAAAUUACCUCAGGACGAAUGUGGUCCAGAAGCCAGCAGUCUUCUUCCAUCAUCACUCAGAGAGCAAAGUCAUCAGCUCGAGCAUCGAGUCAAACAGAGCAGGUUGCGUUAUUUUUGACUGAAACCAUCAAUGUCCCAAGUAUGGCAGACUGGACACCAUUGUGCUGACUCACAUAACUCCAAUCUGAGCAAGAGCUGAGCCCCAGCAGCAUGGUUUGACAAAGAAGGACUGGGACAAUGUCCCUGCUCGGGAUCCACAUCAGGACUACUUUGGCUUCAGCCUGUCCCAGGGUUGGGGAUCUCCAGAAAUGUGCCCAAGGCUAUGCUGGCUCCAAGGCUGGCUAGCGUGGGAUGACUGUGUCCAUGCUAUUAAACUAUCAAUCCCUUUAAACAAUUUAAAAGAGUGAAGGAUUGAUUUCUAGUGCUUGGAAACAUUCUUAAGUCCUACUUAAUUUAUUGGCAUAGGCGGAGUCAGUCUGAACUGACUAACAACCAAGUCCAGGCAAGGACCUGCAGUGAGGCCAUGAAGGGGGAGCAUGGUCAGCCACCCACAGCUAGGAGGCAAGGACAGUGAGAUCAGAAGUAUUGCUCCAACUUUGCUGUCCCCUACCCCAGGGUAAUUUUGCGUAUUCUCCUUUUGGACUCACUGGCUGUGAGUAGAAAACUUGCUAUUUGCAAGCACCCAGCCAUGUAAUCAGUGUUCUUGGUUCAUUUCAUGGGCUGGAGACAGAGUCUAUAAUAUUUAACUUGAUGCUUACACUCACCCACACCCCCAAGUGCUAGGUUAUCAUUGCAUAGGUUUUGGAAUAAAUCCAUGUGAUAUCAAGGAGGUAGAUUUUCCAUUUCAUUAAUUGUCUGUUGAAAAAUCUGGAAAAAAAUUAUCCCCAGCCGGUUACUUAUUUUACAGCAUACAAUUCUCACUGAUACAUGUUUUAACCAAUAGAAGGAAGAAUUCUUCAUGUGUGAGUGGAGUUUACCAUGAAACUUUUGACGACAAUGCCACCAAAUCCUAGCAUACACCUUUCUCCAUUAGGAAACCAUUUUUCAGCAGCUCAAGUGGAGUACUCCAGGGUUUUCAGCAAAGCUAACGCCCUAAUUUUUCUUUCCAUGGGGCUAGUCUCUUUCUUGGACUCUUGUCGUGCACAUGUGGCAUUUUUGAGCCUGAUUCUGCCUUGCAGCACUCAGCUGGAAGCUCUUCCAUCCAAACAACCACCCAAGGGCAUGGUGAAAGUGGGCCACAAACACAGGAAGAGUUUGAAGAGAAACUGAAAAGAGAAGGGAAUAAUUCCAACUGAAACUGCAGUGAAAGCUUCCCCAUCUCUUUUCUUCCAGGGUCUUCCUGCCUGGUGUUUGCUUUAUUUUUUAUCUUACCCUACGCUUUCCUUUGUCCUUGCAUCACCAGGAUCCCUUCUUUUCUGUCAGUGCCUGAAUGUCCUGUCCCACUCUGCACAGUGUAUUCUUUGCUUUUGUGUUUCCCCUGUGCUUACCAGUCCUCAUGUAGCCUUACAGCUUAGAGAAAUGGAUGUAAAAUUUUUUUCCAUUACAUGUGCCUCAUUUUCUUUUUAUGCUGCAUUUUCUACUUCUUAUCUGUAUUUGUAUGUAAAUAUCAUUUCAAGUUCCCUUUAUACAAAAGAGGGGCAGCUAGCGCAAAUGGCCAGCAGAGCUAUUGAAAAGCCACCACAGGACAUACGUCUGUAUGAAAGAAUACACUGCCUUUUGAUACCAGUAGUUGCAAGGUCAUUAAUGGCAGGAACAGGAGACAAACAGUGUUAAUAAUAGGCUAGUGGGGAACUGAAGGGGCUUCACGCUUCCCAUGAAAGCUUUUAGGAUUUUAUUCAAAUCCUUCCCUGACAGGAAGGGGAUGAGAGGACUGGGAGAUUUCUUCCAUCCUAGUCAUUUCUUUGGUACACCGUAGCCAAAGCAGAACGCUGUAAGAGUCAGUGUAUCCUAACCCCACCAAUUAAUAUGUUAUUCAUUGACCGUGGAGGUGGUGGAGCCACCUUUAUCUGUCCUCUUCUGUCUGCAGCCCUCUGAAUCCAUAGAGGGUUUAAAUGAUAUCUUUCAGGAUAAUUGUAGAGAUCUUCACUAGGUGGGGAGAAGAGAGAUUAGGAAAGAGAAACUGAGAAAGUCACAGCCUGUUUCCUUUGGUGCUCUCAGUUGUAAGUCCUCAUACUCUCACGACUCAUCCACCUUGAUGGAGACAUCCAAGGUGGGGUGGCUCAUUCCCACAGGACUGUGGACCAGAAUUUGGCUCGCCAGUGUUCUUGCUUUUACAGAUUGGGAAUAGCAUUUUCUUCAACAAUAGUUCAAUUAAGAAUGUCAACUAGUUGGGAUCUGGCUUUCUUUUCUGUUGUUUACUAAUUAAAUUUAGGUAGUUAGACCUCUAUGAACUUCAACAUGAGCAAUUGUGAUCAGCUCGUCAAUGAACAGCUGAUCAAGAAAGGUUUGCUUAAUUAGAGAAGAAGAGUAAUUAGCUUGUCAACAUUUAAGCUCCAGAAAGACUACAUGGAAGAAUUCCUAUCACCGUAUUUAUUGACCUUUAAAUCCUUCAGCUCUUCUGUCAUUGAUGUUUAAUCGAGUCACUUAGGCUGUCAGGCUAAUAACUAAGAUAAUGAAGUAGUCUAGGACCUUGCUUUACUACUUUGUUAUUCUAACGCUAAUUUUAGAAUGCUAAAAAUAGCUUCACUAAAAAUAAGACAUUGUGGGUGGGUUUUUCUCCUAAAACAAUUGAGCUUCUGUUACUUCCCUUCCAGAGCUAUUAGGACAUUAUUAGGUUUCAAAGAGGUUCUUUUGUAGUAAAAGCUAAUUGUAAUCUUCAUAGUGAAGGACUUAAUAAAUCAACCUCAUGUGGCAAUUCUAUUUGAAGAAUAAAGAGUAGGAUAUGUUAUUUGUUUAUAAAUUUGUACAUCUGACCUGUAGGGAAUACAGUGUUUAUGACAGAGUGAAGGCAUUAGGAAGGUGAGAGGUUUUCUUGAAGGAUCCUAUCUUAAAAAUCAAAAUCAUUGAUGCAGGAGCAAUCACCACUAAAAUGUUUUGUGUGCAUGAGGCGUCUGUAAGGAGAAUCCAAGUUCUUUGGGUGCUUACCUGAGCAUUCUUUCAAUCUUGAGUUGCUUUAAUUUAUUUCUAAAUUUCUGUGUGCGUAAUGUUUGGAGUUUAAACAAAAUUCAUGUAUCUGCAAUUUUGCUGUUUACUCUUAAGUUGUUGGUAUACAUUCUUAAUCUUACAUCAAUAUUAAUAUAUUUGUAUUUUGGUACAGAAAGCAUUAUGCAUAGAUGAAAACAGCAUGUGACUGUUAAGCCUUCUCAGGAAAAAGCAUCCUACUAAGAUCAAAUUCUGAGGAGAAAUAGAAAGUGUUUAAGUAUGUUUUUAAAAAUACUUACCUGACACAUGUUUUAGCAAAUCACUUUCUUAGAAAACCUUCUGUUUUGGUUUUACAUGCGGAUUUUUUUCCCCAUACAAAAACACCAUCUCUGCUGGUAAUUUUCAUGCCCAGAAUGUUAUAACCAUUUAUGAAAUUCUGUCUUUUAAAAUAAAAUACAUUUUCUUUCCCAAACCUAGACAAUAACAUACCCUUAAUACCUGUGAAGAAAACUAUGAGAUUUUAGGCAUUAAAGAACAUUAAAGGAAGUGGGUUUUAGGAAAACAUGUUGGAAACUGGUUGAUGUAUCAAAAAUUCUUUCAAUGGGAUUUUGUUUAUUGGGAAUAAAGAAAAUAAAUUCCUUACAGUCUG